rnacentral:lncRNA from 1 species
GUAGCGACCUCGUCACGAGUAACCUCCAGUGACGGAAAGUAGAAAAAUGUAACGCCCGUAGGCAAAAUGUACAAUCCCAAAAUGAUAGGUCAAGUGUCAGCAACACAAGCCCUCAAAAAUAAGAAUAAGUCAGAGCUAUGACACUAACACCCAACCUUAGUAGACUCUAAACACCCAUCCCCCAUACUUCCAUCAUCGACUCUCAUCUGGUCAUGCAUGAAGUCCGGGUCCACGUCGAAGGCUCAGUAGUAGUCAUCUCGC